CGUCACCGUCGAAGUGCCCGACCAUUCUAGCUUUGAAAUUUCUAAUGCCGGGUGCUUCUCUGCAUUUCGUUCUCUAAAACUUUGGAACACUAUGAGCAAUGAGCUUUCUGCAGUUUGAUUAUGUCUAAUGCUAGACAUGAGCAAGAAGCAUACUGGAACAAUGAGCACAGAUUGGCCUACACAUCUGAGAUCUGCACCGCCUCUGAGGGUGACCGCUAUGAGAAAUCGGUCAUUUUCCCAUUACUCUCCCUGGUUUUUAUUGCUUUUAAAGUUCCAAUAUUUAAU